GAUGAAGAACGCAGCGAAAUGCGAUAAGUAAUGUGAAUUGCAGAAUUCAGUGAAUCAUCGAAUCUUUGAACGCACAUUGCGCCCGCCAGUAUUCUGGCGGGCAUGCCUGUUCGAGCGUCAUUUCAACCAUCAAGCCCCCGGCUUGUGUUGGGGACCUGCGGCUGCCGCAGGCCCUGAAAACCAGUGGCGGGCUCGCUAGUCACUCCGAGCGUAGUAAUACAUCUCGCUCAGGGCGUGCUGCGGGUUCCGGCCGUUAAAAAGCCUUAUUUACCCAAGGUUGACCUCGGAUCAGGUAGGAAGACCCGCUGAACUUAAGCAUAUCAACAAGCGGAGGA
rnacentral:misc_RNA from 1 species